UACGUAGGGAGCAAGCGUUGUCCGGAAUUAUUGGGCGUAAAGCGCGUGUAGGCGGCUAGGUAAGUCUGCUCUGAAAGCCCGGGGCUCAACCCUGGGAUGCCGGUGGAUACUGCUGGGCUAGAGUACGGAAGAGGCGAGUGGAAUUCCCGGUGUAGCGGUGAAAUGCGCAGAUAUCGGGAGGAACACCAAUUGCGAAGGCAGCUCGCUGGGACGUUACUGACGCUGAGACGCGAAAGCGUGGGGAGCAAACAGG
rnacentral:rRNA from 1 species